rfam:Schistosoma mansoni strain Puerto Rico chromosome 6, complete genome
AUCCGGCUGACGAUUCCCAAAUAAGACGAAACGCGCGUCGAACUGGAU